rnacentral:lncRNA from 1 species
AGGAACAUCAUCUGAAACAACAUCUGGAGUAGCAGGGAGCACCACCCCUCCUCCUCCAAGUACAGGAGCACCAGGUUCAGGUAGCACAGUGACAUCCUCAGGCCACACUACCAUCUCUCAAGCCUCUAGUCUAUCCCCAGCCUCUACCAGCAGCAAACCAGGCACACCUGGUGCAUCUACCGCUCCCACCUCAGGAGAAGCAGGAAACAGCACUCCAAUUCCUGCAAGUACUGGAGCCCAAGGUUCAGGUAAGAACUCCUUGCUUUUGGAGCUGUC